GGUUAAGCGACUAAGCGUACACGGUGGAUGCCCUGGCAGUCAGAGGCGAUGAAGGACGUGCUAAUCUGCGAAAAGCGUCGGUAAGGUGAUAUGAACCGUUAUAACCGGCGAUGUCCGAAUGGGGAAACCCAGUGCAAUUCGUUGCACUAUCGUUAACUGAAUACAUAGGUUAACGAGGCGAACCGGGGGAACUGAAACAUCUAAGUACCCCGAGGAAAAGAAAUCAACCGAGAUUCCCCCAGUAGCGGCGAGCGAACGGGGAGCAGCCCAGAGUCUGAAUCAGCUUGUGUGUUAGUGGAACGGUCUGGAAAGUCCGACGGUACAGGGUGAUAGUCCCGUACACCAAAAUGCACAGGCUGUGAACUCGAAGAGUAGGGCGGGACACGUGGUAUCCUGUCUGAAUAUGGGGGGACCAUCCUCCAAGGCUAAAUACUCCUGACUGACCGAUAGUGAACCAGUACCGUGAGGGAAAGGCGAAAAGAACCCCGGCGAGGGGAGUGAAAAAGAACCUGAAACCGUGUACGUACAAGCAGUGGGAGCACCUUCGGGUGUGACUGCGUACCUUUUGUAUAAUGGGUCAGCGACUUAUAUUCUGUAGCAAGGUUAACCGUAUAGGGGAGCCGCAGGGAAACCGAGUCUUAACUGGGCGUUAAGUUGCAGGGUAUAGACCCGAAACCCGGUGAUCUAGCCAUGGGCAGGUUGAAGGUUGGGUAACACUAACUGGAGGACCGAACCGACUAAUGUUGAAAAAUUAGCGGAUGACUUGUGGCUGGGGGUGAAAGGCCAAUCAAACCGGGAGAUAGCUGGUUCUCCCCGAAAGCUAUUUAGGUAGCGCCUCGUGAAUUCAUCUUCGGGGGUAGAGCACUGUUUCGGCUAGGGGGUCAUCCCGACUUACCAACCCGAUGCAAACUACGAAUACCGAAGAAUGUUAUCACGGGAGACACACGGCGGGUGCUAACGUCCGUCGUGAAGAGGGAAACAACCCAGACCGCCAGCUAAGGUCCCAAAGUCAUGGUUAAGUGGGAAACGAUGUGGGAAGGCACAGACAGCCAGGAUGUUGGCUUAGAAGCAGCCAUCAUUUAAAGAAAGCGUAAUAGCUCACUGGUCGAGUCGGCCUGCGCGGAAGAUGUAACGGGGCUAAACCAUGCACCGAAGCUGCGGCAGCGACACUAUGUGUUGUUGGGUAGGGGAGCGUUCUGUAAGCCUGCGAAGGUGUGCUGUGAGGCAUGCUGGAGGUAUCAGAAGUGCGAAUGCUGACAUAAGUAACGAUAAAGCGGGUGAAAAGCCCGCUCGCCGGAAGACCAAGGGUUCCUGUCCAACGUUAAUCGGGGCAGGGUGAGUCGACCCCUAAGGCGAGGCCGAAAGGCGUAGUCGAUGGGAAACAGGUUAAUAUUCCUGUACUUGGUGUUACUGCGAAGGGGGGACGGAGAAGGCUAUGUUAGCCGGGCGACGGUUGUCCCGGUUUAAGCAUGUAGGCUGGUUAUCCAGGCAAAUCCGGAUAAUCAAGGCUGAGGUGUGAUGACGAGGCACUACGGUGCUGAAGUAACAAAUGCCCUGCUUCCAGGAAAAGCCUCUAAGCAUCAGGUAACAUCAAAUCGUACCCCAAACCGACACAGGUGGUCAGGUAGAGAAUACCAAGGCGCUUGAGAGAACUCGGGUGAAGGAACUAGGCAAAAUGGUGCCGUAACUUCGGGAGAAGGCACGCUGGUGUGUAGGUGAAGUCCCUGCGGAUGGAGCUGAGACCAGUCGAAGAUACCAGCUGGCUGCAACUGUUUAUUAAAAACACAGCACUGUGCAAACACGAAAGUGGACGUAUACGGUGUGACGCCUGCCCGGUGCCGGAAGGUUAAUUGAUGGGGUUAUCCGUAAGGAGAAGCUCUUGAUCGAAGCCCCGGUAAACGGCGGCCGUAACUAUAACGGUCCUAAGGUAGCGAAAUUCCUUGUCGGGUAAGUUCCGACCUGCACGAAUGGCGUAAUGAUGGCCAGGCUGUCUCCACCCGAGACUCAGUGAAAUUGAACUCGCUGUGAAGAUGCAGUGUACCCGCGGCAAGACGGAAAGACCCCGUGAACCUUUACUAUAGCUUGACACUGAACAUUGAGCCUUGAUGUGUAGGAUAGGUGGGAGGCUUUGAAGCGUGGACGCCAGUCUGCGUGGAGCCAACCUUGAAAUACCACCCUUUAAUGUUUGAUGUUCUAACGUUGGCCCCUGACCGGGGUUGCGGACAGUGUCUGGUGGGUAGUUUGACUGGGGCGGUCUCCUCCCAAAGCGUAACGGAGGAGCACGAAGGUUAGCUAAUCCUGGUCGGACAUCAGGAGGUUAGUGCAAUGGCAUAAGCUAGCUUGACUGCGAGCGUGACGGCGCGAGCAGGUGCGAAAGCAGGUCAUAGUGAUCCGGUGGUUCUGAAUGGAAGGGCCAUCGCUCAACGGAUAAAAGGUACUCCGGGGAUAACAGGCUGAUACCGCCCAAGAGUUCAUAUCGACGGCGGUGUUUGGCACCUCGAUGUCGGCUCAUCACAUCCUGGGGCUGAAGUAGGUCCCAAGGGUAUGGCUGUUCGCCAUUUAAAGUGGUACGCGAGCUGGGUUUAGAACGUCGUGAGACAGUUCGGUCCCUAUCUGCCGUGGGCGCUGGAGAAUUGAGGGGGGCUGCUCCUAGUACGAGAGGACCGGAGUGGACGCAUCACUGGUGUUCGGGUUGUCAUGCCAAUGGCACUGCCCGGUAGCUAAAUGCGGAAGAGAUAAGUGCUGAAAGCAUCUAAGCACGAAACUUGCCCCGAGAUGAGUUCUCCCUGAGACUUUAAGUCUCCUGAAGGAACGUUGAAGACGACGACGUUGAUAGGCCGGGUGUGUAAGCGCAGCGAUGCGUUGAGCUAACCGGUACUAAUGAACCGUGAGGCUUAACCUU
rnacentral:rRNA from 1 species